AUAAUCCUGUUAAUUCACAUAGACCCAAAUCCUCUAUUA
rnacentral:tRNA from 1 species